CACCGCCCGUCACACCAUGGGAGGUUUACUGCACCAGAAGCAGGUAGCCUAACCGCAAGGAUGGCGCCUACCACGGUGUGGUCAAUGACUGGGGUG
rnacentral:rRNA from 1 species